CCUACGGGUGGCAGCAGUAGGGAAUAUUGCUCAAUGGGGGAAACCCUGAAGCAGCAACGCCGCGUGGAGGAUGAAGGUUUUCGGAUUGUAAACUCCUUUUGUUAGAGAAGAUAAUGACGGUAUCUAACGAAUAAGCACCGGCUAACUCCGUGCCAGCAGCCGCGGUAAUACGGAGGGUGCAAGCGUUACUCGGAAUCACUGGGCGUAAAGAGCGCGUAGGCGGGAUAGCAAGUCAGAUGGGAAAUCCUAGGGCUUAACCAUAGAACUGCAUUUGAAACGGUUAUUCUAGAGUAUGUGAGAGGUAGGUGGAAUUCUUGGUCUAGGGGUAAAAUCCGUAGAGAUCAAGAGGACUACUCAUUGCGAAGGCGACCUGCUAGACCAUACCUGACGCUGAUGCGCGACAGCGUGGGGAGCAAACAGGAUUAGAUACCCCAGUAGUC
rnacentral:rRNA from 1 species